CCUGCUUCCACCACAUGGGCCUUGCCCAAUGUAUCCACCACCAUCAAGGCCCGAAUCCGGACUCGCUUUUGCCGUAGCCACGUGGAGGCGAUAAGUACUUGCUCUUGGCUGUCUGCUGGUUUCCUAAUGCCAGGCUUGCACGCACUAGUAAGAAAGAUCACAACUCAUCUUUAUCUCCCUCUCUUCCUCCGUGUGUAUGCUUUUCUCAGUGGGGACAAACUCCAACUAGUAGGCCUCAACAAGGGGAGGAGAUCAGGGAGUACCGGGUUGCAACUGAACAGAAAGGUACCGUGUCUGGUUAAUACCGGAGUGCAAAAGUAUUAUAUGUGUGACUACAGUCAAGAUCUUUAUUGAGGGUGGGUGCCUGCUUUCAAAUUAUGGAUCGUGUGAUGGAACCGAAUAAAGCUAUUUGGCUGAAAUGAGGAGUGGCAUCAUCCAUCCUCAUGUACGCGGAACCAAGUUAGUAGUCUUAAACCAAAGCUUUUUGAUAGAUUCUGAAAUCAAUUUACUCAUAAAGACGAAAUCUUGUCAAAAAAAUUAGGAGAGUGUCCUUAAUUUAUAUCACUCACUUUGCCUUCUUGUCGUGGCACUACUAUCAAGCCAAUUGUCGAGUUGUGCUUCACUCGAAUUCUCGGAUUGAGCUUCGUUUGAGCCAACUGUUGGUUUGAGUUUCACUUGAACUCUCGUGUUGAGCUUCGCUCCAACCAUCGACUGCAACUCGAGCAAACUAUCUACCAGAAUUUUGCUUGAGCAUUAUGCCGAGUGAGAGUUGAGUGAACUCUAAGCUUGACGUCUUCUCAACUCACAACUAGGCUCCACAUAACCCAACACUCUUGUCUCAUGGUUUCUCUAAGACCAAAUUAGGCCCUUACAACUCAUAAAUUACCAUAAUAUGUUUAGUGAACAAUGAUUGAAACAACAAUGUGCCCUUAAUACGAAGGAGCUUUCUCCGUUUAUGCGUGUAAAUAGAUCUUUCCCAAUUCUCCAACUAUUACAUCAAUAAAUACAAGCUAGCUAAUUGGAAUGAGAAUGAGUUAUUUGAUAUUCUGCGCUACAGAAAGUAGUAAGAAAACCAUCUAUCAAUCAUGGCCAGACAUUCCUUAGGCUUGUACUCUGGUGCAGUGUGACCCCCACCCUGCAACACAAACCAAAAUGGCACUACAUUUAUAUAUAACAAUUUUGCUUGACUACGAUAUAUAUGGGGAAUUAUUUUGCCGGACUGCGGAGAAUGCUUACCUUUAUAGUUGUGAAUGUCAAGCUGUACUUUUCCUCCUUAAAGAUAGUGACGUAUCUGAAGAAAACAAAAUGAAAUUCACAAUGCAUGAAAAGGUAGCAAAUUUAGAAAAUGGAAAAUCGAACGGUCUAGAAACGAGCAUGGUCACAAAUUAAAUAAGGUGGUCAUGGAAGUUCACCCUGCGAUUUGACCGUUAACAAACCAAGGUCUCCAGUAAUCCUUUAUAGACAAGUUCAGCGUUUCUAUCCAUUCUUCAGUGCCCACAUAUGGAAUCGCCAUGUCGUGAUCACCGCUACAUGAAAAGUUCUUCAAGUUAGAAAAGGCUAGAAAAUUUUGAAACAGAGUAUUUGCCAUAUAUAUUUUGAUAAGCAUUCCACAUCACUCGUCAAUAGGCUUAUGCUGUCACACCAAGCCAAAGGUAGAGGAGGAAGGGCAAAAGCUUAAUUGGCUGGGCAAUUCCAAGAAUUUAUUGCAUGCAGCUCCUUGUUCGAUCAAUAAGUACGAUCGAUUAUCGAAAUUCUAAUAGAAGAGGCAUACAUUGAGUAGUAGUACUACCUGUAAACCAGAGCUCGAAGAUCUUUCUUGGUGAGGUUUCGGUGGUAAUCAAUACUCGUUAUGACAUUCUCUGUAUAUUCUAAACUCUGAUUGCAUCUCUCCCAAUUUGUUUUGGUUCCCUGAACACCAACUUAAAAAAGUAUUUAAUUACUGAAA